CACCGUUCCAAAUGAACACGGAUAACCGCCACUGACACCCGUUCCAACAACAAGAGCAUGCGCUCUGAACAGAUAUAAUCCAUAGAUUUUUGGAGGGCGGAUUUCACGAACCAUACUAAACUUUUGGUUCCAUCCAUAGUAUUAUGAUCAGGGUUCGGGAUUUAUUUCACUUAAAAUCUACAGAAAAAUGUUUGUAAACGACAAUAAAGCGAUUGAAAAUAUUUAAAACCAAAAAUGCUAACUAGGGUUUAAA